CUUAUUAAAAAAAUACAGUUUUGCAUGCUUAGGUUUUGUGCAUGUCCAAACAAACAAACAUCUUAAAGGUGUCUAGUUUUCAGAAGACAGAGGACUGUCUGCUUUCCAUUAGAAAAUGGGACUGCUUAAAGCAUCUCAGUUUAGGCCCCUUAGGGCUUCUUUAUUUGUAUAAGUGAAAAAUCAAAACAGUGGAACUCACUAGGAAAAUUGGGAAUGUCUAGAGAAAAUGUUAAUAUUAGAGACUCAACUAAUCUGAAAUGUUAUCAGCCCACAGGAUGUGACAGCUUAUGUAAGCUGAGAGUCUUGCCUUUUAUCUUUGUGAAACCAACACUUUGAAGGCAGUUGUUAAUACUUCUUAAUCAAGAUGUUGCAAGAGCACUGUUUCAAGAAAUGCUGUCUUUUGUUAUGCUAGAACACAAUCUCACUCCUAAGAACAAGCAGGACACCUCAAAACUGUCUUUCUGACCCUGCUAGUACGGAGACCAAACCCAAGAAGAUUGUGUCAUUCUCACCUGCAGGCCUAGCGAAGCCAAUUUACCGAACUAUUACAAAGCCACUUUUUUCCACAACAUUUAGAAGACUCCUUGAGCCCUUCUUGAAACGCCUUUUUGAUGCUCAACAGAAUUUUGCACACUUUUGCCAUAAAGCCUCUGUUCUUUGGGAGAAAAUUGUUAUCUCUGGCGCAGAAUAAUAUUGGAUUUCAUACAUGGAGGACACAGAUACAAAGAAUUAAAAGUUCAGUUCCAGAGGUACUGAUGUUCUGAUACUCUAGUUUCUGUGAAGGAAAAUCACACAGGAAAAUGCUUCACAGAGAUCUAUGGGAUACCUAAGAUCUGAAUGCUGAGACACAGCCUAACAACUAACCUAAAGCCUUGCCUUGACCUCUAGCUCUACAACUCAGUACAUUGGAGCAAUCUGAUACAUGUGAUCUACAACAUGUGAUGAUCAGCAGCUCGAAAGGACUGUUUUGCCUUACGGUGCUGUCUUACCACAAUGAGGGAAUCAUGCAUUGGAUCACAGGGAUCUUCUGUGUAGCUUUUAUGGUCAACCACAGCUGUAGCUCACUGUGCUGUUAUUUGGAGAUCUCAAAUGAGGUGUCACCAUGGUCAUGUCAGAACAUGAAGAAUACAGACCCCUAAAUCAAUAAAGAAGGAGCAAGUCAUUUUUUCCUACUGACACUUGAAAAGCAACGAUUUAUCUGGUGGACUCCCAGGAUGAGGCCAGCAGCACUUCAGCCUCCAUUUGACCUUGAGAAUUAUUUCUUCUCAGCUGUGAAUGAGAUAACAGCUCUAGCCAAUGCUUUGGAGGGUCUUUGGUCCUCAGCAGCAUUUCUUUUGUUAUGCGGGCUGAAGAUAAUUCCAACGGUUUUCAGCUAUGCUUUUCCUUCCUGUUGCCCAAUGCUCUUCUGGCCCCAAGGCUGAGUCAGGCAUUGAGGUUUCCUCCAAAGCAGCUGCAUAUAUGGGUUUCCUCCAACAACAACCAGGCUGAAGGGGCAGGAUGGAAACUGCAGUAUGUGUUAGAAUAUAUCGACACGGAGUCAACUCUGAACGAAAACGAUGACAUACAGCAGCGGUGCAUGUCCUCGUCUCAAGUCAGCACAACUUCCCAUGGCCAGGGAGCGCACAACACAUGAGCACGGUGGAAUGUACCUGCUGUACUCCAUGUCACAGCAUGCACCCUGCCAAAGGACUAUCAUAGCACUGGAUCCUUUUACUUUCAAAAGUUGUUCAGGGUUAAAACUCAUAAUUUUGGUACCGUUACAUUUUAUGCGACAGCCAUAUAGUUUCGUCAUUUCUUACUUACAUACUAAUGGUUGGUAAUACUGCAUAUCGCUGUAAAAGUAAAAUGAAAUAACAACUAAUCCACAAAUUGAAUGAAUGAGAAUUGCAUUUUAAUAUUACAAAACAUCUCAGCACAGGAAAGAUGUUUAGUAUUUGUCCAUCUUCAAGUAGGUGUUUACAACCUUUUAAAAAGAUACCAAUGUGUGAAUCCAUUUAAUUGUGAGACUAUAAUGAAUAGGAAAUAAAGAUAUGCUUAAAUUUAACUGAGUGAUUUGCUGAACUAGGGUUUUAAUACUUAAUUUUGAGGAAACAAGGUUGUCUGCAUAGGUCUACUCUGCUAACUCGGUACUAAAAACAUAAUUGAUACAAUCAUAGAAUCAUGGAAGGGUUCAGGUUGGAACGAACCUUUAAAGACCAUCUAAACCAACCCCCUUGCAAUGAGCAGGGACAUCUUCAACUAGAUCAGGCUGCUCAGAGCCCCAUCCAACCUGACCUUGAAUAUUUCCACGGAUGGGGGAUCUGACACCUCUCUGGGCAACCUGUUCCAGUGUUUCAUCACCCUCACUGUAAAAAAUUACUUCCUUAUAUCAGUCUGAAUCUACCCUCUUUUAGUUUAAAACCAUUACCCGUUGUUGUGCUCUUCUGGAUUUUUUUUUUUUAAAUGAUCUUCUCACUAUCAAAAUGACAAGCUAAUGGGUGGCGUUUUCAAAUAUGCUGACAAAGGACACAGGAAUAGAAAUUUGGGAUCCUUCAUAGGAUCCUGGAACAUAGGAUGGGAGGAAUAUCAGGAGGUCUCUGUUUCAACCCUGGUCCUUCAUAUCGGGGCCAUCUGUGAGAUUUGA